rnacentral:rRNA from 1 species
UACGGGGGGAGCAAGCGUUGUUCGGAUUUACUGGGCGUAAAGGGCGCGUAGGCGGCGUGACAAGUCACUUGUGAAAUCUCCGGGCUUAACUCGGAGCGGCCAAGUGAUACUGUCGUGCUAGAGUGCGGAAGGGGCUACUGGAAUUCUCGGUGUAGCGGUGAAAUGCGUAGAUAUCGAGAGGAACACCUGCGGCGAAGGCGGGUAGCUGGGCCGACACUGACGCUGAGGCGCGAAAGCUAGGGGGAGCGAACGGG